rnacentral:rRNA from 1 species
CCUACGGGAGGCUGCAGUGAGGAAUAUUGGUCAAUGGGCGCGAGCCUGAACCAGCCAAAUAGCGUGCAGGAUGACUGCCCUACGGGUUGUAACCUUCUUUUAUAAAGGAAUAAAGUGAGGCACGUGUGCCUUUUUGUAUGUACUUUAUGAAUAAGGAUCGGCCAACUCCGUUCCAGCAGCCGCGGUAAUACGGAGGAUCCGAGCGUUAUCCGGAUUUAUUGGGUUUAAAGGGAGCGUAGAUGGGUUGUUAAGUCAGUUGUGAAAGUUUGGGGGUCAACCGUAAAAUUGCAAUUGAUACUGGCAGUCUUGAGUACAGUUGAGGUAGGCGGAAUUCGUGGUGUAGCGGUGAAAUGCUUAGAUAUCACGAAGAACUCCGAUUGCGAAGGCAGCUUACUAAACUGCCACUGACAUUGAUGCUCGAAAGUGUGGGUAUCAAACAGGAUUAGAUACCCUUGUAGUC